GGUGNACCUGCGGAAGGAUCAUUA
rnacentral:rRNA from 1 species